rnacentral:rRNA from 1 species
GAUGAACGCUGGCGGCGUGCCUAAUACAUGCAAGUCGAGCGAACGGACGAGAAGCUUGCUUCUCUGGUGUUAGCGGCGGACGGGUGAGUAACACGUGGAUAACCUACCUAUAAGACUGGGAUAACUUCGGGAAACCGGUGCUAAUACCGGAUAAUAUUUUGAACCGCAUGGUUCAAAAGUGAAAGAUGGUCUUGCUUUCACUUAUAGAUGGAUCCGCGCUGCAUUAGCUAGUUGGUAAGGUAACGGCUUACCAAGGCAACGAUGCAUAGCCGACCUGAGAGGGUGAUCGGCCACACGGGAACUGGGACACGGUCCAGACUCCUACGGGAGGCAGCAGUAGGGAAUCUUCCGCAAUGGGCGAAAGCCUGACGGAGCAACGCCGCGUGAGUGAUGAAGGUCCUCGGAUCGUAAACCUCUGUUAUUAGGGAAGAACAUAUGUGUAAGUAACUGUGCACAUCUUGACGGUACCUAAUCAGAAAGCCACGGCUAACUACGUG